rnacentral:rRNA from 1 species
GACGAACGCUGGCGGCGUGCCUAAUACAUGCAAGUAGAACGCACAGUUUAUACCGUAGCUUGCUACACCAUAGACUGUGAGUUGCGAACGGGUGAGUAACGCGUAGGUAACCUGCCUGGUAGCGGGGGAUAACUAUUGGAAACGAUAGCUAAUACCGCAUAAUAUUGAUUAUUGCAUGAUAAUUGAUUGAAAGAUGCUAUUGCAUCACUACCAGAUGGACCUGCGUUGUAUUAGCUAGUAGGUGAGGUAACGGCUCACCUAGGCGACGAUACAUAGCCGACCUGAGAGGGUGAUCGGCCACACUGGGACUGAGACACGGCCCAGACUCCUACGGGAGGCAGCAGUAGGGAAUCUUCGGCAAUGGACGAAAGUCUGACCGAGCAACGCCGCGUGAGUGAAGAAGGUUUUCGGAUCGUAAAGCUCUGUUGUAAGAGAAGAACGGGUGUGAGAGUGGAAAGUUCACACUGUGACGGUAUCUUACCAGAAAGAGACGGCUAACUACGUG